AAAAAUUUAGUUAAUUUAUAACAUUAGUUUGUCAAGCUGAAGUAAAUACUUUAGUAUUAAUUUUUA
rnacentral:tRNA from 1 species